AUUGAACGCUGGCGGCAUGCCUUACACAUGCAAGUCGAACGGUAACGCGGGGCAACCUGGCGACGAGUGGCGAACGGGUAAGUAAUGCAUCGGAACGUGCCCAGAAGUGGGGGAUAGCCCGGCGAAAGCCGGAUUAAUACCGCAUGAGACCUGAGGGUGAAAGCGGGGGAUCGCAAGACCUCGCGCUUUUGGAGCGGCCGAUGUCAGAUUAGCUAGUUGGUGGGGUAAAGGCCUACCAAGGCGACGAUCUGUAGCUGGUCUGAGAGGACGACCAGCCACACUGGGACUGAGACACGGCCCAGACUCCUACGGGAGGCAGCAGUGGGGAAUUUUGGACAAUGGGCGCAAGCCUGAUCCAGCCAUGCCGCGUGCGGGAAGAAGGCCUUCGGGUUGUAAACCGCUUUUGUCAGGGAAGAAACGCUCUGGGCUAAUACCCUGGGGUAAUGACGGUACCUGAAGAAUAAGCACCGGCUAACUACGUG
rnacentral:rRNA from 1 species